rnacentral:rRNA from 1 species
GCUGGCGGCGUGGAUCAGACAUGCAAGUCGAACGAGGUUAGUCUGGUAGCAAUAUUGGGCUGACCUAGUGGCGAACGGGUGCGUAACACGUGACCAACCUGCCUAAAAGUGGGGGAUAGCUCGGCGAAAGCCGGAUUAAUACCGCAUGUGAUCGUAAGAUUAAAGCAGCAAUGCGCUUUUAGAGGGGGUCGCGGCCUAUCAGCUAGUUGGUGAGGUAAAGGCUUACCAAGGCAGCGACGGGUAGCUGGUCUGAGAGGACGACCAGCCACACUGGAACUGAGACACGGUCCAGACACCUACGGGUGGCAGCAGUCGAGAAUUUUUCUCAAUGGGGGAAACCCUGAAGGAGCGACGCCGCGUGGAGGAUGAAGGCUUUCGGGUUGUAAACUCCUGUCAUCUGGGAACAAAACUCGCAAGAGCUUGAUAGUACCAGAAGAGGAAGAGACGGCUAACUCUGUGCCAGCAGCCGCGGUAAUACAGAGGUCUCAAGCGUUGUUCGGAUUCAUUGGGCGUAA